AUCGCUUCUCGGCCUUUUUGCUAAGAUCAAGUGUAAGUAUCUGUUCUUAUCAGUUUAAAAUAAUCACUGUGGAAGUUUUACACCUAUUCUGGAGAUGUGUUUAUCACUCAAAAUAUUUUGGGAAUGCAUCUCUUUCACAAUUUUCUAAACAGUU
ensembl:snRNA U2 U2 spliceosomal RNA